rnacentral:rRNA from 1 species
CAGUCGCCGCGGGAAUACGUAGGGUGCAAGCGUUAAUCGGAAUUACUGGGCGUAAAGCGUGCGCAGGCGGUUAUAUAAGACAGAUGUGAAAUCCCCGGGCUCAACCUGGGAACUGCAUUUGUGACUGUAUAGCUAGAGUACGGCAGAGGGGGAUGGAAUUCCGCGUGUAGCAGUGAAAUGCGUAGAUAUGCGGAGGAACACCGAUGGCGAAGGCAAUCCCCUGGGCCUGUACUGACGCUCAUGCACGAAAGCGUGGGGAGCAAACAGGAUUAGAUACCCCAGUAGUCCCUGUCUUUAUACA